rnacentral:rRNA from 1 species
UACGGAGGAUCCAAGCGUUAUCCGGAUUUAUUGGGUUUAAAGGGUGCGUAGGCGGCCUAUUAAGUCAGGGGUGAAAGACGGUAGCUUAACUAUCGCAGUGCCUUUGAUACUGAUGGGCUUGAAUGGACUAGAGGUAGGCGGAAUGUGACAAGUAGCGGUGAAAUGCAUAGAUAUGUCACAGAACACCAAUUGCGAAGACAGCUUACUAUGGUUUAAUUGACGCUGAGGCACGAAAGCGUGGGGAUCAAACAGG